GAAUAUCUUAUGCGAUCAUGAAUGGGACGAUAUGUUGGUUUUAACCGCAUUACUUGCAUUAUUUGACAUUUUGACAACUAAAUAUUAUGAAGUUUUUGUCAUGUAAUGUUUUAAUUCAUGAUUUUUAUAAUCAAUCUGUUGUUUUUGUUCACCUUGCUGGUGGGUGCCUUGAGUUGGACCGCAGACUCCCCUUAGGUGUUCCAAGUAGGAGUGGGGUUUGCUAUUCCUGUUUGUAAGUAGUCUUGGUAUGGAACUUCCUCCGACGUGAUGAAGACCAUAGGUACCGAACAUUGGCACCCUUGCAUAUGAAUGAAAUCAAACCAAAUUGAAGUGUUUAAUCAGAUGGCCAUGAAUCUUUUAGAAAGCAGAUGGCAAUUUCGUAUGUGAAGGAGGAAAUUCUCAAACAAUCCAUGUUUUGCUAUGACUAUCAACAAAAAUCAAGUACAAUCACUUUGUCAUAUUGGGAUCCAUUUACUAAAGCCAGUUUUCAUACAUGAUUUAUCAUACAUUGCACUGUCGAGAUUGAAAAGCAUAAAUGGAUUGAAGAAGCAUGCGUGGUAAAUAAUAGAGGACAGAAUUUAAUUUCUUUUUUUUUUUUGUGUUAACAAGGUUAGAAUUUUUUAGUUUAUGUUACUAUGUUUUACUCAAUAAAAUAAAAGAUAACAUUUUUUUUUAAUUACAAUCUCUCUGCGCAUCGUGCGGGUAGUACAUUGUAGUUUUAUCAAUAA